rnacentral:rRNA from 1 species
UGGAAGCCUGAUCCAGCCAUCCCGCGUGAAGGAUGACGGUUCUAUGGAUUGUAAACUUCUUUUGUACAGGGAUAAACCUGCCCUCGUAAGGGCAGCUGAAGGUACUGUACGAAUAAGCACCGGCUAACUCCGUGCCAGCAGCCGCGGUAAUACGGAGGGUGCGAGCGUUAUCCGGAUUUAUUGGGUUUAAAGGGUCCGUAGGCGUGCCUGUAAGUCAGUGGUGAAAUCUCAUAGCUUAACUAUGAAACUGCCAUUGAGACUGCAGAGCUUGAGUAAAUUUGGAGGGGCUGGAAUAAG